rnacentral:snoRNA from 13 species
AAGCAGGAUAAGUUACAGUGCAGCUUGUUCAGUGCUGUUCUGUCGUUCCCCCUGCACACAUCAACUAGGUUUCCUACUAUCCCUGUCUGUCUGCAUUCCACGGCAGACAGGGACGCUUGGUCUCAGACAC